CCCACCACUGCGCCUGACCAUCCCAUUGGCUGGUGCAUUCCAGUGGUGAGCUGACAGUAAGCCCCAGCUUUUAGGAAACAGGCUUGUCCUACAUGUGGAUGACUCUGUGCUGAGAGCAUGGGGACAGCC